rnacentral:lncRNA from 1 species
UUCACCUUUAGCAUGGUUUCAAGUGCAAACUUGAAAAUUGGUUUCUUACAGCAUUUUGUGGGGCAUAAGUUGGGAGCUGAGAGCAACAAACUCCUUUGGUCAUGAGAUGAGCUUCACUUCACUCCUGUUGUUUCCAGUCACCACAGUUAAGAAACCAAAGUGAAGUGGUGGACAUAGGAUGCUUGGAUACCUGUCUAAUACAGCAUCAAGACACAGCUGAAGUUUACACCCAGCCCUGUUUAACUAACUUUAUGUUUCUCAUUACCUGAAUCAACAAAUAGCUUUAAGAUGGCUGCAUGGAUACUACUCUCAUGAAUUGUUUUCUAUAAUGUUGUUGAUAUUUGUGGAAGAUGCUAAAGAUGGAAAAGUGGUCACUUGGGAAGGCACAACACUGCACAACUGUUCCUCCCACAGCUGCUGGGGUGCUGCUCCAGGAUGCAGUUUCAAACUCACAAAUAUCUGUGCAGAUACACACAUAUGAGCCUUCCAAGACAUGCAAAUCUCUGCCGUCCUUCUGUGGUAUCACCGCUGCCAGAAAAGUCAACUGCAAUGCAAAGCCAAGGAGCAGGACUCAGGAAACCCUCCUGCUUUCAUGUUUGGUGAGAAUUUCAAAGUUUGUCUCUUGUGGUGUUAUUUUUUCCUGCUGA